UCUCUAGAGAUACCUCUAGAUAUCUAGACAUAGAUAUCUAUAGAUCUGAUUUGAUCAGUAAAUCUUUACAUUAAUCUGCUGCUGGUGAAAAGUAAAAAAAAAAAAAAAAGUUUCCCUUUGAGAGUUUCAAUUUUUGUCCAGACCCCUUCAGUAGAGGUCCAGACUCCUUCAGUAGAGGUCUAGACCCCUUCAGUAGAGGUCUAGACUCCUUCAGUAGAGGUCCGGACCCCUUCAGUAGAGGUCUAGACCCCUUCAGUAGAGGUCCAGGUGGUCUGGAGAUGUCCCCCUUGUGUCCAUCCUGACAGCUUCUCUUCAUAGAAAUCUGAGUUUUUAUCCAUAAAACCAACGAUGAGAAGAACAGAUAAUAAAGAAACAGAUUCAUCAACAUCACGUCGCUUGUUUACUGUUUGUUUACUGUUUGUUUUCUGUUUGUAUCAUCAUGUUUCCAUAUAUUUGAAUAGUUUGGAUCCUUUUUAAAUCUUGUUUCUGCUGAUUUCACUUCAGUUUGAAUCUGAUAAAACCUUUCGGUGCCUUCGACAAUCAGCUGAUCUCCAGUUCUGACGGUUAAUAAUCACUUUAUUUUAUCUCCAUGUUCCACUUAAACUCUGUAAAUAUUUCUGUGCAAUAUUUGAUAUUUGAUGUUUGUUUAGAAGCCAAAGUGACGAAAAACUCUGAGAUGAAAUCUGAACUCAGUGAAAUGAUGAAAUAUGUUUAUCAGCUUCCUGUUUCAACACAUUAAACUGUUUUUACACUUUAACUGAAGAAUCAAAGUUUGAUUUAUGAUGUUUCAGUUAUUAGAUCAUUAAUCUGUCUGUAGAGAUCUGUAACACUUAAUCUUUCACCUUAUUCUGAUUUUUUAAUAAACAUUUUCAAACUCAA